rnacentral:misc_RNA from 1 species
AAGUCGUAACAAGGUCUCCGUAGGUGAACCUGCGGAGGGAUCAUUACCGAGUGCGGGCCUCCGUGCCCAACCUCCAACCCUUUGUCGAUGACUAUCUGUUGCCUCGGGGGGGCGACCCGGACCUCGUGCCGGGAGUCCCCCAGAGGUCCAUCAAACACUGCGUCUUUGCGUCGGAGUAUUGAAAUCAAUCAAUUAAA